rnacentral:lncRNA from 1 species
UUGACUACAAAUGAUUUUCAACCAUAUCCGAGCCUUGGAAGUGAAGUCAUCCACGAAGAUGUUUCAUUUAGUCUUGGCCACGAGACCACGAGACUUCCUUUCAAGUACAUGGCUGUUAUUCCACCAAUUUCCCAAUUUACACCCUUUUGCCUUGAAUUCACCCAUGUCUGCCUGCUUGAGUCCAUAAACAUCAUUGAUUUGCUUAUCCCCAAAUUUCACCAGCUUCCCAC